rnacentral:rRNA from 1 species
UACAGAGGGUGCAAGCGUUAAUCGGAAUUACUGGGCGUAAAGCGUGCGUAGACGGUUAUGUAAGUCGGAUGUGAAAGCCCCGGGCUCAACCCGGGAAGUGCACUCGAAACUGGGAGGCUAGAGUACUGGAGAGGUUGGUGGAAUUCUCGGUGUAGAGGUGAAAUUCGUAGAUAUCGAGAGGAACACCGGUGGCGAAGGCGGCCAACUGGACAGAUACUGACGCUGAGACACGAAAGCGUGGGGAGCAAACAGG